GAGCCGCCGCGGUAAUACGUAGGGUGCGAGCGUUAAUCGGAUUUACUGGGCGUAAAGCGUGCGCAGGCGGCCCGUUAAGACAGGUGUGAAAUCCCUGGGCUCAACCUAGGAAUUGCGCUUGUGACUGGCGGGCUCGAGUACGGUAGAGGGGGGUGGAAUUCCUGGUGUAGCAGUGAAAUGCGUAGAGAUCAGGAGGAACACCGAUGGCGAAGGCAGCCCCCUGGGCCUGUACUGACGCUCAUGCACGAAAGCGUGGGGAGCAAACAGGAUUAGAUACCCUGGUAGUCCACGCCCUAAACGAUGGGUACUAGCCGUUUGGUGCGCGAUAGCGCUGAGUGGCGAAGCUAACGCGUGAAGUACCCCGCCUGGGGAGUACGGCCGCAAGGUUGAAACUUAAAGGAAUUGCGGG
rnacentral:rRNA from 1 species